AUUGAACGCUGGCGGCAGGCCUAACACAUGCAAGUCGAACGAGUGGCGGACGGGUGAGUAAUGUCUGGGAAACUGCCUGAUGGAGGGGGAUAACUACUGGAAACGGUAGCUAAUCCCGCAUACCAUCAGAUGUGCCCAGAGGGGAUUAUCUGUGUGGUGGGGUAACGGCUCACCAAGGCGACGAUCCCUAGCUGGUCUGAGAGGAUGACCAGCCACUAUGGAACUGAGACACGGUACGGACUCCUACGGGAGGCAGCAGUGGGGAAUAUUGCCCAAUGGGCGCAAGCCUGAUGCAGCCAUGCCGCGUGUAUGAAGAAGGCCUUCGGUUUGUAAAGUACUUUCAGCGGGGAGGCGUUACCCGCAGAAGAAGCACCGGCUAACUCCGUGCCAGCAGCCGCGGUAAUUC
rnacentral:rRNA from 1 species